rnacentral:rRNA from 1 species
AUUGAACGCUGGCGGCAUGCCUUACACAUGCAAGUCGAACGGUAACGCGGGGCAACCUGGCGACGAGUGGCAAACGGGUGAGUAAUGCAUCGGAACGUGCCCAGAAGUGGGGGAUAGCCCGGCGAAAGCCGGAUUAAUACCGCAUGAGACCUGAGGGUGAAAGCGGGGGAUCGCAAGACCUCGCGCUUUUGGAGCGGCCGAUGUCAGAUUAGCUAGUUGGUGGGGUAAAGGCCUACCAAGGCGACGAUCUGUAGCUGGUCUGAGAGGACGACCAGCCACACUGGGACUGAGACACGGCCCAGACUCCUACGGGAGGCAGCAGUGGGGAAUUUUGGACAAUGGGCGCAAGCCUGAUCCAGCCAUGCCGCGUGCGGGAAGAAGGCCUUCGGGUUGUAAACCGCUUUUGUCAGGGAAGAAACGCUCUGGGCUAAUACCCUGGGGUAAUGACGGUACCUGAAGAAUAAGCACCGGCUAACUACGUG